rnacentral:rRNA from 1 species
GUAGGUGGCAAGCGUUGUCCGGAAUUAUUGGGCGUAAAGCGCGCGCAGGCGGUCCUUUAAGUCUGAUGUGAAAGCCCACGGGCUCAACCGUGGAGGGUCAUUGGAAACUGGGGGACUUGAGUACAGAAGAGGAAAGCGGAAUUCCAAGUGCAGCGGUGAAAUGCGUAGAGAUUUGGAGGAACACCAGUGGCGAAGGCGGCUUUCUGGUCUGUAACUGACGCUGAGGCGCGAAAGCGUGGGGAGCAAACAGGAUUAGAUACCCUGGUAGUCCACGCCGUAAACGAUGAGUGCUAAGUGUUAGGGGGUUUCCGCCCCUUAGUGCUGCAGCUAACGCAUUAAGCACUCCGCCUGGGGAGUACGGCCGCAAAGGCUG